GGCGGCAGGCCUAACACAUGCAAGUCGAGCGGGCAUCGCAAGAUGUCAGCGGCAGACGGGAGAGUAACACGUGGGAACGUACCCUUCAGUUCGGAAUAACCCAGGGAAACUUGGACUAAUACCGAAUACGUCCGUAAGGAGAAAGAUUUAUCGCUGAAGGAUCGGCCCGCGUCCGAUUAGCUAGUUGGUGGGGUAAUGGCCCACCAAGGCGACGAUCGGUAGCUGGUCUGAGAGGAUGAUCAGCCUCACUGGGACUGAGACACGGCCCAGACUCCUACGGGAGGCAGCAGUGGGGAAUAUUGGACAAUGGGCGCAAGCCUGAUCCAGCCAUGCCGCGUGGGUGAUGAAGGCCCUAGGGUUGUAAAGCCCUUUCGGCGGGGAAGAUAAUGACGGUACCCGCAGAAGAAGCCCCGGCUAACUUCGUGCCAGCAGCCGCGGUAAUACGAAGGGGGCUAGCGUUGCUCGGAAUCACUGGGCGUAAAGCGCACGU
rnacentral:rRNA from 1 species